rnacentral:rRNA from 1 species
GUGGGGAAUCUUGCGCAAUGGGCGAAAGCCUGACGCAGCCAUGCCGCGUGAAUGAUGAAGGUCUUAGGAUUGUAAAAUUCUUUCACCGGGGACGAUAAUGACGGUACCCGGAGAAGAAGCCCCGGCUAACUUCGUGCCAGCAGCCGCGGUAAUACGAAGGGGGCUAGCGUUGCUCGGAAUUACUGGGCGUAAAGGGCGCGUAGGCGGACAGUUUAGUCAGAGGUGAAAGCCCAGGGCUCAAGCUUGGAAUUGCCUUUGAUACUGGCUGUCUUGAGUACGGGAGAGGUGAGUGGAACUCCGAGUGUAGAGGUGAAAUUCGUAGAUAUUCGGAAGAACACCAGUGGCGAAGGCGACUCACUGGCCCGUUACUGACGCUGAGGCGCGAAAGCGUGGGGAGCAAACAGGAUUAGAAACCCUUGUAGUUC